ACGCUCGACACCUAGGAGGCAGCAGUGGGGAAUAUUGCACAAUGGGGGAAACCCUGAUGCAGCGACGCCGCGUGAAGGAAGAAGUAUCUCGGUAUGUAAACUUCUAUCAGCAGGGAAGAAAGUGACGGUACCUGACUAAGAAGCCCCGGCUAACUACGUGCCNGCAGCCGCGGUAAGUACUGAGCGGGCGUGGCGAAGGACG
rnacentral:rRNA from 1 species